rnacentral:misc_RNA from 1 species
AACGCACAUUGCGCCCAUUGGUAUUCCUUUGGGCAUGUCUGUUUGAGCGUCGGAGCAGCUGUCCACGAACUCAAUAACUUAAACUGGUGGUUUUUGAACCUGAACGGCCAACGCCGUGUCCGGUUUUAAAGUUGUCAGCUCUGCUGGCCGCUCUGCCCAACCAGGACAUAGUAAGCACUACUUGUCCGAGGGUUAAGCUUGAGCGGUACGGCCUGAACGUAAUAAAACCUACCCAUUCUCAAAUUCAUACCUCAGAUUAGACAAGGAUACCCGCUGAACUUAA